rnacentral:rRNA from 1 species
UGUCUCCUUUCUCUAAUCAGUGAAACUAAUCUCCCCGUGAAGAAGCGGGGAUACCACCAUAAGACGAGAAGACCCCAUGGAGCUUUAAACCCAACUACACCCCUACUUUUCACACCCACUCAACCAACAGGGUCCUGUACGCUUGGUUUUAGGUUGGGGCGACCGCGGAGUAAAAUUAAACCUCCACGAUNNNNNNNNNNNNNNNNNNNUCCAAGAGCCACACCUCUAAGAAUUAGCACACUAACAUAAAAUGAUCCGAUACUCGAUCAACGAACCAAGUUACCCUGGGGAUAACAGCGCAAUCCAUUUCAAGAGCCCCUAUCGACAAAUGGGUUUACGACCUCGAUGUUGGAUCAGGAUAUCCCAGUGGUGCAGCAGCUACUAAAGGUUCGUUUGUUCAACGAUUAAAAUCCU